AAUAUUUUGAUCAGGGAAAAAAAACACCAUAAAUAGUAUGGUUUUGUCUCACUAGAUUCUUUCUUCCGAGACGUCUUCGGUUUCUGAUGUCAUAGUGGAUGCCAGUGAGACAGUUGGAUAUGGAGUUAGGAUAUUUCGCACUCUUCGUCCGUUUUGGUAAUAUGGCAAAGAUACGUUAGUUGACAUGCUAGUUUCAGAAGCACGUUUCUGGAGGCCGGGACCACUGGGUUCUAGGUCGGUCAGUAUUGUGGUUUCAUCUUCAACGAUUCCCAAAGGAGAAUCAGUGAGGGUGGUACGGUUGGCUGCCUGAUGGCUUGGUGCUUCCAUAUUUUCCUCAAUAGUGACUUUGGUUUGAUGCGAUCCUUGGGAAUCUUUAACAUUCGUAUAAUGGUAGGGUUGAUGUGAUUGUUGAAUUCCUUGCAACAAUUUUUCAUUCAACGCAUUCAGUCUGUCGGAAGCUUGGAUAUCAGACUUAUGCGGCGUUCUGUCAAAAGAAUAACCAGAAGCCUCUGUUCCCAUGGGAGUUUGGGGGAAACUCUCUCUCAAAUAUUCCAUUGAAUAUUCAUUUGGAGUUACUUGUUUCAUUACAUAUUCCUGAUUUACAAGGGAUGUAGUUGAAAGAUUCGAAGCAGCAUCAGCGUCUGGCUUAAGUAGCCCUGAUUUUACUUUUCUGAAAUUGGGACCUCCAUUGACAAAGGAGAUAGAUGUAGAAGAGCUCUCGUAAUGGUACGGGGGUCGUUUUGGAGGAAGCUCCGUUACCGGUUUUUCGUAUGUGAAUCCUUUAUCCUUAUUUGAACUGGAAAACUCAUCUUCAUGUUGAUGAUGAUGAAUGUCUUCAAUGUCUGCAAAGCUUUCGGUCAUUGGAAGCAUUUGGGAAUCAGCUAACUCUGAUCCUUCUUCGUCAUUAUUUCGUGAAUUGUAGUAACCCGUAAAGCUAGCAUCUUUAUCUGCUUCUUCUUCAUCGUGGCCGCUCUCUUCUCUUUCCAUGUAAGUGCCAAAAUAGUCACUAGAAUCAUGAGUUUCAUAAAGUUCGUUAGUUAGAUGUGAGUAUAAUGAGGGCUUUUCCUCAUCAUUUUGUCCGUCGAACGGUUUGCUAAUGGAGUGGGCAAAUACAUCCUCUCCCUUAAAUUUUUUAUUUUCAAAGUGCUUUAGAGGCUUUUCUGAUUGUUGCAAAUUCGACUCAUUUUGAGUGGGUAAAGACGAAGAAGGAGGUGCCGGAGAAUAUGCACCAGGAAUGUGAGAUUCCAAAUCUUUAUCCAACACUUCUCUGCUAUUCUGAGCAAGCAUCUUUAAAUUAAAGAUAUUUUAUGACUUUAUAAACUUUUUUGUUCUUUUCUUUGAUAAAAUUUUAUAUCUCAGUUCCCAGGGGAGAUUGCUAGAUUUAUUCUUCCUAACAAUAAAAGUGGUUUCCGUAAGAAAUGGGGUAAAUUGACAAGAAAAAUAGCUUCAAUUGAUUUCUCU